rnacentral:rRNA from 1 species
UACGUAGGGUGCGAGCGUUAAUCGGAAUUACUGGGCGUAAAGAGCUCGUAGGCGGUUCAGCAAGUCGGGUGUGAAACCUCCAGGCUCAACCUGGAGACGCCACCCGAUACUGCUGUGACUUGAGUCCGGUAGGGGACCACGGAAUUCCUGGUGUAGCGGUGAAAUGCGCAGAUAUCAGGAGGAACACCGGUGGCGAAGGCGGUGGUCUGGGCCGGAACUGACGCUGAGGAGCGAAAGCGUGGGGAGCGAACAGG